AGUUCAGGGUGAAUCUUCCUCAGCAAAAGUUUUAAAAAAAGCCAUGUGGAAAUAAAAACAUUGUCUCAUCUUGUGAUUUGUCCUUAGAGUUCGCAUGAACUGUUCAGUUCUCAUGCUUUCCAAGCCAAAGACACCCUCUCUAACCUGUUUAUUUGUAUGAUUUUCAUAAGCACCCAACACUUUCAGGUAAGAGAAGUAUUAUGCAAAUGAUGAGAGAAAGGUUAGCUGUGCAGCUCUGGUUGAAGUAGGUGUCAGAACCAAAGCACAGUUGGCCUUCCGUUCCCCUCCCCCACUCAGUGAACUCUGAGGGGCUUUGCUGAGCCCAUUUUGAAACUGUCCUAUUAAUUAAGCUUAAUUAAUUAAGCUCCUUAAUUAAGUCCAGGCUACAUGAUUUGGCUCCCACUUAACCUCUCUAGCCUCAAUCUUCAACGUUUCUUGUUUUACUACCUCCAUUCACACUUUUGCUAGGGCGAUCUUCUCUUCCUAUAACGUUUUCCAUCUUAGUUUGCUCUGCUCACCGUAUAUUAUCAUUACUCAGUUCAAGAUUCUCCACUUUCAGAGGAGUUUCUUUGUUGGUAGUUUAGGCAAAGUAUUCUUUGAUUUCUUAGAGUCCCCUAUCCAUAACACUAUCUUAGCAUUUAUCCUAUUGUGUAAAAGAAACAAUCCGUCUUCCUGACUAUAAAGUGAGUUCCUGGGCCUCAAGAAGUAUGCCUAUUCAUUCCUUAUCUCCAGCAUUCAGAAUAACAACUAGUCUGACGAACUGAGCUGAAGGCAGUGGCAGGAGAACUAGAGAAAAAGGAAGAUUUGGAAGAUGUAUAGAGAAUCUAAUCUACAGGACUUGAAACAAUGGUAUGAUAGGAGUAGCAAGGACUUAAGAAAAGGGAGAAAGUGAAAGUGAUGCCAAAAAGUUUUAGCGUGAGCAACUAGGUACAUGAUGGUAUAUGAUAGGAGUACAGGCAAAACAAAAGACAAACAAAAAAUAGAUUUGAAGAGAAAGAUGAGUUAAGUGGCUGUGUUUGAGAAGUGAGUGGGACAUCAAGAGGAGAUGUCCUUUGAGCAGAUGAGAAAGUGUCUAGAGCUCAUGGUCAAGAUCUGGUCUAGAAAUGUAUUUGGAGGUUUUAAUUAUGUUGGUAAUUUGAAGUUGUGUAAAUGGUCAUAAUUCUCCAGGGAAAAUUGUGUAGAGGGAAGAAAUACGCAAACCAAAAUGUUGAAUGAAGAGAGAACAGCAAAGCCUUUGAUUGGGAGAAUCUCUUGAAAUCGAUAGUGGAAGAAACUAAGAUACUGAAUAAGAUGGAUCAUUUUGUAGAAAUGAACUUUUCCAAGGAAUGGCUUAUAAAUGAAUUGCCAGUGGGAUGAGGGUCUCUCCUGAAUCCAAUGAGGGCAACAGCAUAUAGAAUAAAUAAAUGUAAGGAAUGUGAAUAAAUUCUUUUUCUCUCAAUAUAUUAAAAUUCACCUUUAUGAUGAGGAUUUUUUGGUGACUCAUUUGAAGUGGGAAUUGGAAAGUUAGAAUUUAUUGGUGUUUCUCCAGGGAAGUCUAUUGAAUGCAUUGAGUAAUUCAAUAUUUAAGUAAUCUAAUGUUUUACCAGCCAGCAUCUCCCCUCUCUUUCUCUGGAAACUGCUUUUACUAGUCACUGUCACUGGGUUAUGCUACAUAAUUAAAAACUCUGAAUGUUCAGUUGCUUACAAAACAAGACUGUUUAUUCCUUAUGUUACAGGUAGAUUACAAGUUGCCUACAGAGCUGCUCAGGCUUUGGAAAGGCUCCGGCUGUGCACCAUAUAUCAUCUCCUUCUGGAUCCCAGGUUGAAGAAGCAGCUCCUCUGGGGGACCUGCCCAUUCUCAUGGCAGAGGCGAGGAGGCAAGGAGCUGCUAGGAAAUCAUGAUGCCUCUUACAGCUUCUGCACAGGAGAGUGGCCAAGCAAGCUAAGAGUAUUCCUUAAACCGCUCCAUGGGCAUUUUAGGACAGAAGAGGAACCUAAAGGUUUUUUUUGGUUCCCCUCUCCACCACUACUCCCCUGCCUCCACCCAUUACAUCAGUAGCAUUCAUUGCUCCAGGAUGAGGUUGUACGUAGCCAAGAACAAAGAAGACAACUACAUUUCUGAAUGGGAUUUUUAAAUCAAAACUGAAACAAUAGGCUUUUUAUUAUAAGGGCAGGUUUCUUGAAAGCAAACAAGUUUUUGAGCUCUAAAUGAGUAAGAGCUUGGGAGACUCAGGGCAGAGCAUUUCUGCCAUAAAUCAACGAGUUAGGAGGUAUGGAGCUGUCUACCCAAAGGAAACAGAAGUUCAACCUGCUGGAAAGAAGAGGAGAAUCUGAGGGCAUGUGACUAGAAUUUAGAUGCUGGGAGGUGCCUAAGAAAGGACUCUACCCUCCCUGUGCUCUCUCAGGCAGCUGAGAGGACAAGAAAUUCUCUGGUGGAAGGCAGGAAGGUCUUUAGAGCAGAGAGGAUCUUCAUCUUGCUCCCAGCAGGCCUCACUGAGAAGCCCCCUGCUCCCCACACAGCUGAAGCAGGGUGCCUGACACAUUGCUCUCCACCAUCCAGGAUACUGAGCAUCCAACAUUGCUGAGCACCCCCAAACAGCACAGAAGUGGCUGAGAGUGGGAUGGCAGAAUGAGAGGGGUCUUGUGGUCAGGGUGCAGCUAGCAGAGAUGGAUGCAGACAUGAGGCAGCAGGGGAAAGUAGCUGACGACCAGCCUAGAGGGAAUCGCCCAUCUCAGCAGAUCCUGGGCCAGCUGCCUCUGAGGUCAGCACAACAUGUAAAUCCCCAGAACAGAGAAGGAGAAGGGAGAGGGGAAAAAAAAAACCCUUGACUGACUGAGUUUAAAUCUUUAAAUUGCAAGGUUUACAUAGAAGUUCAAGUCUUAGACCUUUAAGUGGAAUGGGGGCUUAGUAACCAAGUGCAGACAUAAAGAGCCCCAGGAAGUCGUCUUCAGUACAUUAAUGAAUAUUUACCCCCUCUUUAGUGAAGCCUUUUAAAUUUGCGGGAGAUAACUUGGCGCCAAAUAUCAGCUAUUCAGCUUGUUCAGGAUUAAUUAUUUGUGUGGCUUUGAUGACUGUCUUUUCACAAACAAGUGCUCCUUUUACUUUCUGUGAUUGUACAUACCACUGAAGCAGCCCCUAACUAUUAUAGAGGCUGAAGAUCUGUUAAUUUUGACAUAUCAAUGAAUGAGAUACUUCAGCUGGAAUCUGUCCAUUUUUUAAUCAAUGACAUAUUUACUCUCUAGUUUGUGGAAAGUGUACUCUUAAAAUUAACAGUCACUAAGAAAACAACAAGCAAUUAAACCUUAGGAUAGUUUUCUUGAAUCAUCCUCCAAAUUAUCAUAAUUCUUAAAUUGAGAACCGUAGUAUAAAUUCAGAGAGAAAAAUUCCUUAGAUUUGACUAAAUAUCUAGGAGCAAAUGAUUUUCUCUUUAUUCACACUCUUGUAGAGGUUUUUUAAUUCAGAUGUCAUUAACAUUCAGAUUUUAAAUUUGAUAGACAUAUUCGGUGUACAGACUCAACCUGCCUAAGAAGAUGACUAAAACGGGCAUUCCUAUCUUAUUGCACACACUCACUCCAAGUCAGCCUAGAGUUGAUUUCCUUGUUUUGAUACUGGUAAGAAGCUCAUCCUGUUUUAUAUUAGUAAUUCCCACCUUUCUCUCUCUCCAGAAAACAGUUCUCAAGGAAUGCCAAAAUAGCCUGAAAAACAAAACAAGAAAGUCUUAAGCUCUCGUAAGCACAUAAUCAGAUGCUCCCGUCUUUCAUUGUAAACUGCUGUUUGGUAAAUUCUGUUUUAUGUUUCAAAAGAGCAAAGUGGCAGUGUUCUAAUACACUUCUAGUUUUACAACAAAGUCUUGCAAAAGUUCAUGUUCUCAUUGUUAAAUAUGUGGGUUUUUAAGGGCAGCCUCCUUGCCUUAUGUCGAAACCAAGUGAUAAAACAAAGGGAUGUGCUGAAGUCGGUCUAUUUUAUUGCCUACCUGCCACCUUUUGUGGUUGAAUUUUGUUACUUGAUUUAUGAAAAAAAUCUGCAAGCUUGGUUUUUGGGUCAUUUCUGACAGCCUUGUGGUUCAUCCUAUUGCUUAGGAGCUUUGCAUUCUGCUUUUUGCUUGUUUUAGUUUUCAGUGAAAAUGAGUUGGGAGCUUGCAUGGUAUCUAUGCUGUAGCUAUGUAAAGAAUAAAGAGAGAAGACUUUUUAGACUUCUUAAUCAUAUUUAUGGUGUUUUCAGGGUAAAGAUGGCUGAGGCCUGAAUAGAACAGAAAGACAGUUGUGAAUGUUGAAUUUUUCUUCUUUUGAUCACUUCAUUCAGUAAGUAACAAGAAACACAUGAACCAUAAAAUCCUAAGAACUAACUUUUAAGUUCAACAUUUAAAAACCAAGAAAUAUGUGUGUUAAAAACUGGAUAUUAGUCACUGAGCAUACCAUGCAACUUAUUUCUUGCCUUUAUAACUACUUUUUCAAACAGGUUAAAAACUGAUAAGAAGCUCUUGGGAAACUCUUAUCAGUCAUUGCAAAAACUAGCUUAACCCAUCCUAAUCUGGCAAAGACUUAAAGGACCUAAAUUCCUAAAAGCAUUAGGGGAUUUUUUUUUUCUGUUUACUAAGUAUGCUGUGUAAGAAUCGUUUUUGUUACAACAAAUUCAGAGUUAAAAUAUCUUUUUAUUCAUGUGAUAUACUUUGUGAGUGCAUUUGCAGCUCAUAAAGAGAUGGUUGCUUAAGCUGACACUGCAGAACGUUGCCGGAAGUGUUGAUUAGAAUUUGCACAUUUGUUCUGAGUCUGUGAAUUCCAAGCGGGUUUGCUGAUGGGAAGUACUGGCUCUUCCAGGGCUCUGUUCAGCUCUAGAUCCUGGCCACUGAGUGGGUUUCCUAUGUGAUGACUGCUGCUAAUAUUUUGGUGCAUAUCCUUCCUGUCUUUUCCUCUCUUCAUAUACAUUUUUAAAUUUGCAAAAUUAAUCUCAUAGUGUACUUGCUAUUUCAUAAUCUUUUUUCAUUAACAGUAUGUCAUUACUUUUUUUAAAAAAAAAGUUCAACCAUGUAAGAUGAUCCAUUAUCUAGCUAUAACAGAAUUUAUUAAACUACUUUCCUAUUGUUAGACACUUAGGCUAUUUCCAGUUUUUACCUAUUGUACAUAUUGUUGUGACUAACAUCCUUGAACUUAAAUCUAUGGGCAUAUCCUAAUUAUUUCCUGUAGAUAAAUUCUUAAAGAUAAUAUGAUUGGGUCAAAAGGCAACUGUUUUAAAAUGAUUACAGCAUUAUUACCACCCUAAGAUAACCACUGCUAACAAUUUGAUGCAUAUUUUUACAGUCUUUUUAAAAACCUAAUAUGCACGUGCAUGCAUUUAUAUAUUUAUGUAUAU